UGUAGGCGGCAAAUUUGAACGUAUAUUGUAGUCAGCAGCUUGGCUAUCUGUUGACCGCAACCAAUUGGAACUUUGUCGCCACCAUAGGAGAUUUCACGGUUGGUUUUUCUCCUAGCUUUGCCACAAGUUGCUUCUAGCUUUACCGUUGUCAUGCUCGGUGGCUGAGGCACUCUUGCAGACAUCUCUCCACGUGUAUCUCUAAUUUUCUAUAUUCUACACAAACACGAAAUUAGAGCUUCAUAUUAACAUCGGUGUCUUCUAUCUUCCUCUUUCCCGCUCUAGAAUAUCUGUACAAGCAUCAGCUUGAGACUUACCGUUGCUUUAAUUUCAACCACCGGCUUAUCAUGUUACGCCUUCUGCUUGCAUCUUACGCCUUUUGCAGUUUCUUGAUUUCAUUAUCGGUAUGUUCUUCAACAGUUUAUAAAAAAAAUUCCCCUAAUUUUUCCUCCGUUGAACCUAGCAAGGCGAUGGUCGACAAACCUUAGCUGAUUUCUUUGGAAGCAUCAUCAUGGUCGAAAAACUAUAACCAGUUUUCUUUGUUAGCAUAAUUAAACUCAAUGAUUUUUCUUAGUCUUCAUUUGCUGCCUAACCUUCUUCAGAUUUGAGGUACUCUUUUGUUUCAAUUGGUUUAUUUGGAGGUUUGGUUAGGAGUGAGGAAACCACGUCGAUGACAGGCUCUGUCUCCUUGUUCUCUUUCUAUUUGAUUUUGUUAAUCGGUAUUCGUCUGCUAAAAUAAACUCUUUGUUGGUUUCGUGGUGUAAUUUGGAUUUUUAAUCAGAUAUGAAGUUGUUGCUUAGGUUUAAAAAAGAUAAUUACGAUUAAAGACCUCGGUCUCUGAACUUCUUGUUUGAAUCAGUAUAUUGAAAUAACUCAUUAGUUUUCAGACUCCUACCAAAUACAUGAAGGAAGGAUCAUUUUGUUAGAUAUUUUAGAGAGGCGAUUAUGGUCUAUGGGUAUAAAAUAAAUAUGAACCGAGGAAAAUCAAUUUUUUUUCUUUUACUAUAUGUUUUUCGUUUCAAAUUUAUUUUACCAAGUGAAGCUCAUCUGCUCAUUUGUUUCUUCACGAGUUUUACUUCCUUAUUUGCAUUUGAUUUACAGCUAUAUCAAGGCACUUGAUAAUGAAAUUUAAAAUCAAGUUUGGUCAUGUUCACCAACUGCUCGAUGAAAUGCUUGAACCAAAACUUAAUUCUUAUUUUUUAUCUAAAGAACCCACAAAAUAUUCCUACGGGAAUCGUUUUGCUGCUACAUAUCUCUCAAUAUGUAAUUUGUUUCUGGGAUAUAAAGAUUAAUAAAAAAACAUCCAAUAAUACAAAAUUAAAUCGAUUUCUUUAUCAAUUUAUGCUCAGAUGUUCUAAAAAUAAGAAAAUUUAUUCUAAAUUUCAAUAUUUUGGGUGAUUAUACAUUUCAGAUCAUGAUCUUCAAGCUUAUAAUCACGAUUCAUUUAAGUUGCUUGACUAAAUAUUCAUAAAGUUUCUUUUUGACAAUUGAGCUUUGCCAAAAGGUGUAUUAUGGUGGGCUUUUUUAUUGUCAGACAACAAAAAAAAAGAGUAAAAAAGCGAAUGACAGUUUGGUCUUUUAUUGGAUAACUACAAAAGGAAGGUAUUACAGAGAUACUUGUUGGGGAUUUGCGGAAGGUAUAGAUGGCUAGAGAAAACAGGAAAUAACAUUUUUCAUUGCCGAAUAAACCCAUUGUACAUUACAUUUAGUACCUUAUUUAGAAACGACUGACCCCUUCUCUGUUGUUGUAUCUAAUGUUGUUACUUCUUAGGUCUGAAUCUGACGAUUUCAAUGCAGAGGAUGAUUAACUUCUUAUGUGGCUUAAGAUAAUGAUGGGAAUAACUAGGGAAUGCCAUGUUGAAAUACUAAAGUUGUUGCUUGAAGUUGGGAGCAUUCAGUUCUGAACUCACUCAUGAUUACAGAACUAUAAUCCACAGAACGUGAAGUCUCCUAACAUCCGUCUUAGCGAGAAGUUGGAUGCUAAAAAUAGUUUGGUUAAACUAUUUACAUCUCGACAAAUGUUCUUAGCACAACAAGGCAUCUUGAUCCAGAAGUAUAUUUUGAAUGUGUAGAAGCAAGAAUGCUUAAUAUAUGAGCCUAAGCAUGAGUUUAGCACAUUAGGAGAUUUCAAAGGCAAUGUCUAUCAGGAUGCAUGCAAGCAUAAUUAUAGAGAUGGAUGCAAAACUAGACAACCAAUCGGAGGAUGCUUCACACACGACACAAUAGUUAAACCUUUGCAUCUCAUUUUGGAUGUAUACAUUCAAAGCCCCAUAUGUUUAUAUUUUGCAGAGCUUCCUGGGCUUGGUUUGUUCAAAAUUUGGUGGUAUAUUUGUCAAGAAAUAUAUAUCAAAUUUCAUGUUCAAAAAUACGAAAGGAAUCAAAGGCUAAAACGAAGACUGUCAUAUGCACUAAUUGUGAUGGCGAGUGAUUUUGCUUUUAACAAUUCAAGUCAUGAACCUAAGCCUAAAGCACUUGACAUAUAUAGUGGGAAGUUGUAGUGAAGAGUUUUUGAAGUUUGACCUCAAAUAUGAUCAGGUUAUCGUUGAUCGUAUUCCUGAAGAGAUGAACGAAGUACUUAAGGCAAAACAUGAAGAAAUAAAGGAUGAACUAAUGGCUAAACAUGAAGAAAUUGAGGGUAAAAAACAAGAAAUCGUUAGGAUAUCUAAUGAAAUCCUAAUGUUUACUCAAUGAACUAACAUACCGAUCUAAUUAGACUUUCAUAUUUUUUGCUUUUCUGAUAUGACUUGAAUACUUUGAAAUCGAAUAUGAAUCUUUAUUUUAGUAGUUCAAUAUUAGUGUUUUGGUUUUGAAAGUUGAAUACUAAUGUUUUGAAACUAACUAUUAAUAUUUGAUUUGGUUUUGAAAUAUAAAAAGUGGAUUUUAUUUGUGAA